ACGAAGCUCAGCCUAUCCGUGCGCCGGCCUCCCUCCAUCAGGACGCGCUCCACACCCAGCCCCGCCGUCCAGUCCUUCCCGGACCUCUGUCCAGUCCUCACCAGUCCUCACCAGUCCGGCCCUUCCAAACCCCGCAGCCCCGCCGCAGGAAGGCUUUUGUCCCCAUGGUGGGAAGGAGAGGAUUGGACUUGUGCGCCGCGGGCCCGUCCACCUGCGGUGACUUGGGUCGGAUGGGGAGGGGGCUUCCCUUCCAACGGAGCCAGGACUUUUUCGCCUAACUGAGGUCCGCGACGUCCAAGCAUCUGCAUCGAGUUGAAAUGAAUCAGCCCUCACCUUCCACCGGCUAAAAAAAAUCCAUCCUCUUAAUUGCCGGGGGGCGGUGCGGGGGGCAUUUAUAAAAUAGCCUUCCUAAUUAAA